CGCUGGUAGGCGGCCGCACGACCGGCCCCCGGAAGGCCUCUAACCCGUCCGGGGAGUCAGAGCGUACACGUUGGGACCCGAAAGAUGGUGAACUAUGCUUGAGCAGGCUGAGGUCAUGGGAAACCAUGAUGGAGGGCCGUAGCGGUUCUGACGUGCAAAUCGAUCGUACGACUUGAGUAUAGGGGCGAAAGACUAAUCGAACCGUCUAGUAGCUGGUUCCUUCCGAAGUUUCCCUCAGGAUAGCUGGCACCGAUAAACAUGCCCAGUUUCAUCUGGUAAAGCGAAUGAUUAGAGGACCUAUGUUCUUGACCGAAACGGUCUCGACCUAUUAUCAAACUUUAAAUGGGUGAGGAGCUCGUCUCAGUUGACCGGAAAGACGAUGAGCGCAAGGCGCAGAA
rnacentral:rRNA from 1 species